UCUAUUCGUAGAGGUUGCAUUGUAUAUGAGUAUCAUUUUAGAGAACUGUGGGUUCUAUGACGAAAUGAGAAAGGAUCCUAUGCCGAAGAAAUAAAUUGCCACACAUUUUAUUUCUGGGACUACAUUUAAUAAAUGUAGUACUGUCACAUGUGUUUGUGAAGAGCUAUUGAAGAG
rnacentral:ncRNA from 2 species